rnacentral:rRNA from 2 species
ACGGGGUGCAGCAGGCGCGAAACCUUUGCAAUGUGCGCAAGCACGACAAGGUUAAUCCGAGUGUUUCCUGCUAAAGGAAUCUUUUGUUAGUCGUAAAACCACUGAUGAAUAAGGGGUGGGCAAGUUCUGGUGUCAGCCGCCGCGGUAAAACCAGCACCUCAAGUGGUCAGGAGGAUUAUUGGGCCUAAAGCAUCCGUAGCCGGCUCUGCAAGUUUUCGGUUAAAUCCAUUUGCUUAACAAAUGGGCUGCCGAAAAUACUACAUAGCUAGGGAGUGGGAGAGGUAGACGGUAUUCGGUAGGAAGGGGUAAAAUCCUUUGAUCUAUUGAGGACCACCUAUGGUGAAGGCAGUCUACCAGAACACGUUCGACGGUGAGGGAUGAAAGCUGGGGGAGCAAACCGGAUUAGAUACCCGGGUAGUCCCAGCUGUAAACGAUGCAGACUCGGUGAUGCACUGGCUUGUGGCCAGUGCAGUGCCGCAGGGAAGCCGUUAAGUUUGCCGCCUGGGAAGUACGUACGCAAGUAUGAAACUUAAAGGAAUUGGCGGGGGAGCAC